rnacentral:rRNA from 1 species
GUACCCCGAGGAAAAGAAAUCAACCGAGAUUCCCCCAGUAGCGGCGAGCGAACGGGGAGCAGCCCAGAGCCUGAAUCAGUGUGUGUGUUAGUGGAAGCGUCUGGAAAGGCGCGCGAUACAGGGUGACAGCCCCGUACACAAAAAUGCACAUGCUGUGAGCUCGAUGAGUAGGGCGGGACACGUGGUAUCCUGUCUGAAUAUGGGGGGACCAUCCUCCAAGGCU